rnacentral:rRNA from 1 species
GGAAUAUUGGUCAAUGGGCGAGAGCCUGAACCAGCCAAGUAGCGUGCAGGACGACGGCCCUACGGGUUGUAAACUGCUUUUGCGGGAGGAUAAACGGCGCCACGUGUGGCGCCCUGCAGGUAUCCCGUGAAUAAGGACCGGCUAAUUCGGUGCCAGCAGCCGCGGUAAUACGGAAGGUCCGGGCGUUAUCCGGAUUUAUUGGGUUUAAAGGGAGCGCAGGCCGAAGGUUAAGCGUGACGUGAAAUGUAGCCGCUCAACGGCUGAACUGCGUCGCGAACUGGCUUUCUUGAGUGAGUUCGAUGUAGGCGGAAUUCGUGGUGUAGCGGUGAAAUGCUUAGAUAUCACGAAGAACUCCGAUUGUGAAGGCAGCCUACAAGGCCUUUACUGACGCUAAAGCUCGAAGGUGCGGGUAUCGAACA